CCUACGGGAGGCAGCAGUAGGGAAUAUUGCUCAAUGGGGGAAACCCUGAAGCAGCAACGCCGCGUGGAGGAUGAAGGUUUUCGGAUUGUACACUCCUUUUGUUAGAGAAGAUAAUGACGGUAUCUAACGAAUAAGCACCGGCUAACUCCGUGCCAGCAGCCGCGGUAAUACGGAGGGUGCAAGCGUUACUCGGAAUCACUGGGCGGAAAGAGCGCGUAGGCGGGAUAGCAAGUCAGAUGUGAAAUCCUAUGGCUUAACCAUAGAACUGCAUUUUAAACUGUUAUUCUAGAGUAUGGGAGAGGUAGGUGGAAUUCUUGGUGUAGGGGUAAAAUCCGUAGAGAUCAAGAGGAAUACUCAUUGCGAAGGCGACCUGCUAGAACAUAACUGACGCUGAUGCGCGAAAGCGUGGGGAGCAAACAGGAUUAGAUACCCCAGUAGUC
rnacentral:rRNA from 1 species